UACGGAGGGUGCAAGCGUUACUCGGAAUCACUGGGCGUAAAGGGCGCGUAGGCGGCCUAGCAAGUCUGGUGUGAAAGCCCAGGGCUCAACCCUGGAAGGGCACUGGAAACUGUUAGGCUUGGGUUCCGGAGAGGAGGGGGGAAUUCCAGGUGUAGCGGUGAAAUGCGUAGAUAUCGGGAGGAAUACCGGUGGCGAAGGCGCCCCUCUGGACGGAAACUGACGCUGAGGCGAGAAAGUGUGGGGAGCAAACAGG
rnacentral:rRNA from 1 species